AUAAAAACUUACAUACAUAUACAAACUCACGCGUGCACAUAGUCAAUUACUGCUAUAGUGUAGCACAUGGAUUAAUCCAUUUUUAUUUGUACUAAAAAAUUAUAAACAAUAUUAUAUAAUAAACAUACUUAUAUCUUUAUUUUUAUUAUAAAAAUAAGGAUGUAAUUAUAAUAACAAUCCCAUUUUUUUUUUUUUUCUUUUUUUUUUUACUACUUAAUACAUUCAUAUAUAAUCAUUUUUACAUAUUAACUAAAAAAAAGAUAGUUACAACGGAUUGAGGACAUAUAUGUAUAUAUAGAAAAGAAUGUUAAUAGAAAGUGCUGAACGACUUGAGGAAAAACAAAAGUUACGCCUUUUAAUUUUUACAAUUUGAUAUAUUUACCUAGACAAAAAAAAAAAAAAAAAAAAAAAAAAAGUAACAUAUAUAUCAACGUACAUACUUGUAAUAACAUGAAAACACACUGAAAACAGAAACUGACAUAAAGUUUAUUAUAAAAGUAAAAAAAAAGAGAAAAAAAAAAAAAAAAAAACACACAGACACAAUCACACACGCGUAUAUACAUUACCACCUUUACUUGAGGACACCCACAUUCACACAUGGUUUUAGUAACAUUGGUAAAAACAAACGUAAACAGUUAUGGUGACAGAGCACUAGUUAAAUUAAAAAAUUGUAAAAGAAAUAUAUGCACGAAAUGUAAAAAUAAAAGCUGUGGUAAUUAUUAUAUAUCAAGGAUAAAUACAAAUUUAGAAAUGCGUUCAAAGAAUGCAAAUACAUUAUUAACAAUAGGAAGGGUAAUCCAAAAAGCAUUGGGUAAAAAAAGUAAUAAACUUAAUAACAUAAUAAAUAAGAUAUCGAGUAAAGAUAUUUUUUUUGUAAAAAAUGAUGCUAUUAUUAGUGAUAAAAAUGAAACUCCCCUUAUAAAUAAAAUGAAAAACGGACUUUUUCAUUUAACCUAUACAAUUACUGAAAAAAAAAAUCCAUUUUAUGAAAUAAUAAAAAAAAAAAAAAGCCACAUUUAUAAUAAUAAAAUUCAACAGUUUAGUACUGUAAAUAAAAUAAAUAUAAAAAAAUCAUCUAAUUUUUUAAAACUAAAACCGAUUGAAAAAAAUGAACAUAUAAAGGAGAAAAUAGCCGAAAGUGACAGGAAUGAAAAAACAGAAAAUUGUAUGAAUGGAGAAAAGGACACGCACUUGAACGGGAGAACAACAAGAAGAACACACCUGAGCGGAAAAAAAAAUAGAUAUAUAUUUGUAAAAAGCAACUUGCGUCGUUCUUUAUUUUUAAAAACCCACAACAACGAAAAUAUACAUAAUAUAUUAAAUAUAUUAGAAAAACAUCAAAAGAAAGUAUCUCAAUUACAAUCAAUUCUUUUAAUUAAUUUAGCUGUCAUAAUAGGAAUAUGUAUUGUUGGCACAUAUUUUUUUAGUUCUGAUAGUAUGUUAAUAAAUAAAUAUAUUAUAAAAGAGAUUGAUAGAACAAUGAAAAAUAUAAAUCAUUCUGAAAGUAUAAAAGAACAAACACGUACAUUAAUAGAUAAUUUAUUAUAUAAUGUCACAUCUGAUGAAAAAAAUAAAGAAUUGUUUUCUAUUUUUUUAGUAAAUGUAUUAAAAAAUAGUCAAAAAGAAACAAGUGAUUUAUUACUUAAAAUGUUAGAAACAGAUUAUGUUAAAAAUAAAUUAAAACUUGUUUUUUUGGAUAUAUUUACAAACUUAUGUCAUAGUAAAGACAUGCAAAAAAGUGUAUACCAUUUGCUAUCUAAAGCUAUACAUUUACCUGUCGCUAUUAAUACAUCAAAAAUUUGGUUGAAUAAUUUAUUUAAUUCAAAAGAAGUGAAAGAAAAUUUAAGAAAUGUUGUAUUUAAAGAUAUAUUCCAAAAUGAUGAAAUGAUUAACAAAUCAAUUGAAUAUAUGCAAAAUGUUCUUUAUAGUACCUUGCAACAUAAUAAUACAAAAGAAAUAACAAAACUGUUUUUUUAUUCUAUUAUCUCUAGUCCUAAUUUUCAACAACAAUUAUCAGAAAACUUAUGGAAAAUAUUAAAGUUGACUAUUUCACCUAAGUGGAUAUAUUUUGAUCAACUUAAAAUGCCAGACAGGCAAGGAAAUGAUAGAAUGGCAGAGUUGGUGAUAGAUAGUGGUCUUGUUGGUAGUACAAGUGAAUUUGCUGUUGACAGUUUUAAAGACACUAUCAGUGAAAAAGUCAAUAACGACAUUAACGAGGGUGUUAAUGACAACGUUAAUGACAACGUUUGUAAUGUAAACGAAAAAGAAAUUAAUAACAACAAUAAUAGUCACACACAUGGCAAACAAGUGAUAAAUACUACGUCAGCUGUUAGCAGUGAUUUAGAUCGUGAAGAACAAGGUACGGACAACAGUGAUUCUGUCAAAAAUGUAGAACAUUAUGGAGAAAAUAAGAACUUAGAAAAAUUAAAAAAAGAAAUAAAACAAACUAUGGAGCUUUAUAAUAUGAAAACAGAAGAAGGUAAUAAUAACAGAAGUAUACCUGUUGAAGGAACUAACAGUGAUGGAAGAAGGAUUUCCAACCAGGUUAAUGUUAAUUCUGACAGUUCCAACCAUGUUAUUGCUAAACAAACUAGUUCCACUUCUCCCUCUUUAACAUAUAACCAAGACAUGCUUAAAGCGGAUAAUGUUUUAGAAAAAGUAAAAGAAACUUUAU
rnacentral:lncRNA from 1 species